rnacentral:misc_RNA from 1 species
GGCUUUUUGAGCUUGAAUUGCCCAACCUCAAAUCAAGAUUCUGUUCCCAGACUUUGGCUGAUGAUGAUUCAGUUGUACUCAGCUCAUCCUCAUAUAUGCUGGGAUCAAAGUUUGUAACAGCUUCUUUGCCAUUACAUUUGAUUGCAGCUUUAUCAUAAGCUCUUGCAGCUUCGAUCUCAGAAUCGAACAACCCCAAAUAAACGUACUUUUUGCCU